rnacentral:rRNA from 1 species
AUAAACGCUGGCGGCGUGCCUAACACAUGCAAGUCGAACGCCCUUGCGCAAGCGAGGGAGUGGCGGACGGGGUGAGUAACACGUGGGGAUCUACCUUUCGGUGAGGAAUACCGGCGAGAAAUCGCCGACAAGACCGCAUAGGUUCCGCAAGGAACAAAGUCGCAAGACGCCGAAAGAUGACCCCUGCGGCCGAUUAGCUAGCUGGUGGGGUAAAGGCCUACCAGGGCGACGAUCGGUAGCUGGUCUGAGAGGACGAUCAGCCACACUGGGAUUGAGAACGGCCCAGACUCCUACGGGGGGCAGCAGUGAGGAAUUUUCGUCAAUGGGGGCAACCCUGAACGAGCAACGCCGCGUGCCGGAUGAAGGUCUUCGGAUCGUAAACGGCUUUCAAGAGGACGAGAAUGGACGGUACUUUUGGAAGAAGCCCCGGCUAACUACGUGCCAGCAGCCGCGGUUAAUACGUAGGGGGCGAGCGUUGUCCGGAGUUACUGGGCGUAAAGGGCGCGCAGGCGGUCUGGUAAGUUUGGAGUGACAGUGCUCGGCUUAACUGAGCAAGGCCUUCGAAAACUAUCGGACUUGAGCACCUCAAGAGGGACAUAGAAUUCCGGGUGGAGUGGUGAAAUGCGUAGAUAUCCGGAGGAAUACCAAAGGCGAAGGCAGUGUCCUGGGGAGUGUCUGACGCUCAGGCGCGAAAGCUAGGGGAGCGAACAGGAUUAGAUACCCUGGUAGUCCUAGCCGUAAACGAUGACCACCAGGUGUGCGGGAGUAUCGACCCUCUGCGUGCCGGCGUUAACAUUAUAAGUGGUUCCGCCUGGGGAGUACGGUCGCAAGAUUAAAACUCAAAGGAAUUGACGGGGACCCGCACAAGCAGCGGAGCGUGUGGUUUAAUUCGAUGCGACGCGAAGAACCUUACCAGGGCUUGACAUGCAGUGGACCAACGUGGAGACACGUUUUCCUUCGGGACUGCUGCACAGGUGCUGCAUGGCUGUCGUCAGCUCGUGCCGUGAGGUGUUGGGUUAAGUCCCGCAACGAGCGCAACCCCUAUCGUCGGUUACAUGUUUCCGGCGAGACUGCCACGAUCAACGUGGAGGAAGGUGGGGAUGACGUCAAGUCAGCACGGCCCUGACGUCCUGGGCGACACACACGCUACAAUGGCCAGUAACAAUGAGACGCCAACCCGCGAGGGGGAGCCAAUCUUUUCAAACCUGGUCUCAGUUCGGAUUGCAGGCUGAAACCCGCCUGCAUGAAGGUGGAGUUGCUAGUAACCGUGAGUCAGCACAUCACGGUGAAUACGUUCCCGGGUCUUGUACACACCGCCGUCACACCACGAAAGUCGGCAACACCUGAAGCCGCUGGGCUAACCUCUUCGGAGGGGGCAGGCGUCGAGGGUGGGGUCGGUGAUUGGGGCG